rnacentral:rRNA from 1 species
UACGGAGGGUGCAAGCGUUAUCCGGAUUCACUGGGUUUAAAGGGUGCGUAGGUGGGUCUGUAAGUCAGUGGUGAAAUCUCCGGGCUUAACUCGGAAACUGCCGUUGAUACUAUAGAUCUUGAAUAUCGUGUAGGUAAGCGGAAUAUGUCAUGUAGCGGUGAAAUGCUUAGAUAUGACAUAGAACACCAAUUGCGAAGGCAGCUUACUUCACGAUCAUUGACACUGAGGCACGAAAGCGUGGGGAGCAAACAGG